AGGCUUAUUGGAAGAAGGCAAGACCAGGGCAGUGAACUACAGACAGAUGCAGUGGAUGGCAUCUUCUGUGAGUUGUACAGAAUGCUGUCAAGACAGGAAGGCACAGUGCUGCUUCACUUCUGAAUCUCAAAAAAAGAGGUUCUGGGUCCAGGUUUUCAGAGGAGCCCUCCCAUGUGGUUUGGUGUCCCCCUUCCUCCUUAAUUCUAAGUGUGGGGCUGUCAUUUGCUCAGUAGUAAAGUAAAGGCAUUCUACAUGUGUUCA